rnacentral:rRNA from 2 species
GGUUAAGCGACUAAGCGUACACGGUGGAUGCCCUGGCAGUCAGAGGCGAUGAAGGGCGUGCUAAUCUGCGAUAAGCGCCGGUAAGGUGAUAUGAACCGUUAUAACCGGCGAUACCCGAAUGGGGAAACCCAGUGUGACUCGUCACACUAUCAUUAACUGAAUCCAUAGGUUAAUGAGGCGAACCGGGGGAACUGAAACAUCUAAGUACCCCGAGGAAAAGAAAUCAACCGAGAUUCCCCCAGUAGCGGCGAGCGAACGGGGAGGAGCCCAGAGCCUGAAUCAGCAUGUGUGUUAGUGGAAGCGUCUGGAAAGGCGCGCGAUACAGGGUGACAGCCCCGUACACAAAAGCGCACAUGCUGUGAGCUCGAUGAGUAGGGCGGGACACGUGGUAUCCUGUCUGAAUAUGGGGGGACCAUCCUCCAAGGCUAAAUACUCCUGACUGACCGAUAGUGAACCAGUACCGUGAGGGAAAGGCGAAAAGAACCCCGGCGAGGGGAGUGAAAAAGAACCUGAAACCGUGUACGUACAAGCAGUGGGAGCCCCACCACCAAAGCAUUCUCUGGUGUUGAAGGCCCUGCAAAGCAGCAUCGCGGUGGCGGAGCGUCGUUUGCGACGCCCAACACACAAAACAAGCGGUGAGUGCUUUGGGGUGGGGUGACUGCGUACCUUUUGUAUAAUGGGUCAGCGACUUAUAUUCUGUAGCAAGGUUAACCGAAUAGGGGAGCCGGAGGGAAACCGAGUCUUAAU